rnacentral:rRNA from 1 species
GGGUUGUGAGGUUAAGCGACUAAGCGUACACGGUGGAUGCCCUGGCAGUCAGAGGCGAUGAAGGACGUGCUAAUCUGCGAUAAGCGUCGGUAAGGUGAUAUGAACCGUUAUAACCGGCGAUUUCCGAAUGGGGAAACCCAGUGUGUUUCGACACACUAUCAUUAACUGAAUCCAUAGGUUAAUGAGGCGAACCGGGGGAACUGAAACAUCUAAGUACCCCGAGGAAAAGAAAUCAACCGAGAUUCCCCCAGUAGCGGCGAGCGAACGGGGAGCAGCCCAGAGCCUGAAUCAGUGUGUGUGUUAGUGGAAGCGUCUGGAAAGGCGCGCGAUACAGGGUGACAGCCCCGUACACAAAAAUGCACAUGCUGUGAGCUCGAUGAGUAGGGCGGGACACGUGGUAUCCUGUCUGAAUAUGGGGGGACCAUCCUCCAAGGCUAAAUACUCCUGACUGACCGAUAGUGAACCAGUACCGUGAGGGAAAGGCGAAAAGAACCCCGGCGAGGGGAGUGAAAAAGAACCUGAAACCGUGUACGUACAAGCAGUGGGAGCACGCUUAGGCGUGUGACUGCGUACCUUUUGUAUAAUGGGUCAGCGACUUAUAUUCUGUAGCAAGGUUAACCGAAUAGGGGAGCCGAAGGGAAACCGAGUCUUAACUGGGCGUUAAGUUGCAGGGUAUAGACCCGAAACCCGGUGAUCUAGCCAUGGGCAGGUUGAAGGUUGGGUAACACUAACUGGAGGACCGAACCGACUAAUGUUGAAAAAUUAGCGGAUGACUUGUGGCUGGGGGUGAAAGGCCAAUCAAACCGGGAGAUAGCUGGUUCUCCCCGAAAGCUAUUUAGGUAGCGCCUCGUGAAUUCAUCUCCGGGGGUAGAGCACUGUUUCGGCAAGGGGGUCAUCCCGACUUACCAACCCGAUGCAAACUGCGAAUACCGGAGAAUGUUAUCACGGGAGACACACGGCGGGUGCUAACGUCCGUCGUGAAGAGGGAAACAACCCAGACCGCCAGCUAAGGUCCCAAAGUCAUGGUUAAGUGGGAAACGAUGUGGGAAGGCCCAGACAGCCAGGAUGUUGGCUUAGAAGCAGCCAUCAUUUAAAGAAAGCGUAAUAGCUCACUGGUCGAGUCGGCCUGCGCGGAAGAUGUAACGGGGCUAAACCAUGCACCGAAGCUGCGGCAGCGACACUAUGUGUUGUUGGGUAGGGGAGCGUUCUGUAAGCCUGUGAAGGUGUGCUGUGAGGCAUGCUGGAGGUAUCAGAAGUGCGAAUGCUGACAUAAGUAACGAUAAAGCGGGUGAAAAGCCCGCUCGCCGGAAGACCAAGGGUUCCUGUCCAACGUUAAUCGGGGCAGGGUGAGUCGACCCCUAAGGCGAGGCCGAAAGGCGUAGUCGAUGGGAAACAGGUUAAUAUUCCUGUACUUGGUGUUACUGCGAAGGGGGGACGGAGAAGGCUAUGUUGGCCGGGCGACGGUUGUCCCGGUUUAAGCGUGUAGGCUGGUUUUCCAGGCAAAUCCGGAAAAUCAAGGCUGAGGCGUGAUGACGAGGCACUACGGUGCUGAAGCAACAAAUGCCCUGCUUCCAGGAAAAGCCUCUAAGCAUCAGGUAACAUCAAAUCGUACCCCAAACCGACACAGGUGGUCAGGUAGAGAAUACCAAGGCGCUUGAGAGAACUCGGGUGAAGGAACUAGGCAAAAUGGUGCCGUAACUUCGGGAGAAGGCACGCUGAUAUGUAGGUGAAGUCCCUCGCGGAUGGAGCUGAAAUCAGUCGAAGAUACCAGCUGGCUGCAACUGUUUAUUAAAAACACAGCACUGUGCAAACACGAAAGUGGACGUAUACGGUGUGACGCCUGCCCGGUGCCGGAAGGUUAAUUGAUGGGGUUAGCGCAAGCGAAGCUCUUGAUCGAAGCCCCGGUAAACGGCGGCCGUAACUAUAACGGUCCUAAGGUAGCGAAAUUCCUUGUCGGGUAAGUUCCGACCUGCACGAAUGGCGUAAUGAUGGCCAGGCUGUCUCCACCCGAGACUCAGUGAAAUUGAACUCGCUGUGAAGAUGCAGUGUACCCGCGGCAAGACGGAAAGACCCCGUGAACCUUUACUAUAGCUUGACACUGAACAUUGAGCCUUGAUGUGUAGGAUAGGUGGGAGGCUUUGAAGUGUGGACGCCAGUCUGCAUGGAGCCGACCUUGAAAUACCACCCUUUAAUGUUUGAUGUUCUAACGUUGACCCGUAAUCCGGGUUGCGGACAGUGUCUGGUGGGUAGUUUGACUGGGGCGGUCUCCUCCUAAAGAGUAACGGAGGAGCACGAAGGUUGGCUAAUCCUGGUCGGACAUCAGGAGGUUAGUGCAAUGGCAUAAGCCAGCUUGACUGCGAGCGUGACGGCGCGAGCAGGUGCGAAAGCAGGUCAUAGUGAUCCGGUGGUUCUGAAUGGAAGGGCCAUCGCUCAACGGAUAAAAGGUACUCCGGGGAUAACAGGCUGAUACCGCCCAAGAGUUCAUAUCGACGGCGGUGUUUGGCACCUCGAUGUCGGCUCAUCACAUCCUGGGGCUGAAGUAGGUCCCAAGGGUAUGGCUGUUCGCCAUUUAAAGUGGUACGCGAGCUGGGUUUAGAACGUCGUGAGACAGUUCGGUCCCUAUCUGCCGUGGGCGCUGGAGAACUGAGGGGGGCUGCUCCUAGUACGAGAGGACCGGAGUGGACGCAUCACUGGUGUUCGGGUUGUCAUGCCAAUGGCACUGCCCGGUAGCUAAAUGCGGAAGAGAUAAGUGCUGAAAGCAUCUAAGCACGAAACUUGCCCCGAGAUGAGUUCUCCCUGACUCCUUGAGAGUCCUGAAGGAACGUUGAAGACGACGACGUUGAUAGGCCGGGUGUGUAAGCGCAGCGAUGCGUUGAGCUAACCGGUACUAAUGAACCGUGAGGCUUAACCUUACAACGCCGAAG